rnacentral:rRNA from 1 species
AACGAACGCUGGCGGCAUGCCUAACACAUGCAAGUCGAACGAGAUCUUCGGGUCUAGUGGCGCACGGGUGCGUAACGCGUGGGAAUCUGCCCUUCGGUUCGGAAUAACAGUUGGAAACGACUGCUAAUACCGGAUGAUGACGAAAGUCCAAAGAUUUAUCGCCAGAGGAUGAGCCCGCGUAGGAUUAGCUAGUUGGUGUGGUAAAGGCGCACCGAGGCGACGAUCCUUAGCUGGUCUGAGAGGAUGAUCAGCCACACUGGGACUGAGACACGGCCCAGACUCCUACGGGAGGCAGCAGUGGGGAAUAUUGGACAAUGGGCGAAAGCCUGAUCCAGCAAUGCCGCGUGAGUGAUGAAGGCCUUAGGGUUGUAAAGCUCUUUUACCCGGGAUGAUAAUGGCAGUACCGGGAGAAUAAGCUCCGGCUAACUCCGCGCCAGCCGCCGCAGUAA